AGUUAAUGCUGACGUAACACAUGGAUCCUUUUGCUCUGAGACUGAAGGUAACUGUUUCUGAGUAAUUCAGAUUGUCUAUGAUCUCAUUGCUAUUUCUACAGCUUUGAGGAGGACCAGGGUAACAAUAAGAGGAAAGUAUUCAAGUAAUUUCAGAAGGAGACCAGACAAUGAGGAUCAAGCCCUGAUUGACCUUCUCUGUAAGCACAGAAGAGAAAAACAGCACACUGUUCCUCCUUUGGCAAUAUGCAUGCCGGCUGGCAUGUUGCAAGUUCCAGAGAAGAGUCAAUACAGCUGAGAUAUGGAUGUUUACCUGGGUACAUGCUGUAGAUAACAAGAGGCAGAUGAAUCCUCCAUUAACCUGAUUUCUUGCUCCCUUGUCCAAGUCAAUAAAAGAAAGGUGAACCAAACACUCAGGGCUCUUUGUCCACUAGAGUCAAAGCCCCUGGUCUCCUCAUUCUGUUAUCUCUGUAUCUGUUUCCUUAAUCACAAUUCACCCCCUCUGGCUAGUCAUUCCUAGCAGGCUGGUCUCCUGCAGAAUAUUACUGAUAUUCAAGUAGACUCAUAAAUAUGAGACCUGUAAAUAUCCAAAUUACCCAGUUUACUUCAUAUAGAGUUAACCAUUAUUUUUGAAAUCUAGCCUUUGUUCACUAGUCAAAAACAAAUAUAACUGUAUACAAAAGCAUACUUGUGCUUAUAGUUAUACCUUUUGUACCAUCUUU
rnacentral:lncRNA from 1 species